rnacentral:tRNA from 1 species
UGUGUGUGGGGUAGUGGUUUGAGCAUUGGACUACAUAUCUGGAGAUCAGGGUUCGAAUCCCUGCUCAGCAA